rnacentral:rRNA from 1 species
GACGAAUGCUGGCGGCGUGCCUAAUACAUGCAAGUUGAGCGAUGAAGAUUGGUGCUUGCACCAAUUUGAAGAACAGCGAACGGGUGAGUAACGCGUGGGGAAUCUGCCUUUGAGCGGGGGACAACAUUUGGAAACGAAUGCUAAUACCGCAUAACAACUUUAAACAUAAGUUUUAAGUUUGAAAGAUGCAAUUGCAUCACUCAAAGAUGAUCCCGCGUUGUAUUAGCUAGUUGGUGAGGUAAAGGCUCACCAAGGCGAUGAUACAUAGCCGACCUGCGGGGGUGAUCAGCCACAUUGGGACUGAGACAAAGCCCAAACUCCUACGGGAGGCAGCAGUAGGGAAGCUUCGGCAAUGGACGAAAGUCUGACCGAGCAACGCCGCGUGAGUGAAGAAGGUUUUCGGAUCGUAAAACUCUGUUGGUAGAGAAGAACGUUGGUGAGAGUGGAAAGCUCAUCAAGUGACGGUAACUACCCAGAAAGGGACGGCUAACUACGUGCCAGCAGCCGCCGCAG